rnacentral:rRNA from 1 species
UACGAAGGUCCCAAGCGUUAUCCGGAUUUAUUGGGUUUAAAGGGUGCGUAGGCGGGUUAUUAAGUCAGUGGUGAAAGCUCCAUGCCUAACAUGGAAAUUGCCAUUGAUACUGAUGAUCUUGAGUACAUUUGAAGUGGGCGGAAUGUGUCAUGUAGCGGUGAAAUGCUUAGAUAUGACACAGAACACCGAUUGCGUAGGCAGCUCACUAAACUGUAACUGACGCUGAGGCACGAAAGCGUGGGGAGCGAGCAGG